GUGUUCUGAGGUGUGUGCUGUGGUAGGAGUGUUCCCCAAGUUUCCUUCUGCAGAGGAAUACGAAACUUGACCUCACUCCUCAGUGCUUUGAGGUCUUUAGAUUGGAAAUGCCAAGCACGCUUUGAGGCAGGGCUGGGACAGUGGUGGUGAACAAGUCAAAGGAGAUGUGUGCAGCUCUUGCUAAAUGCAAGGCUGGGAAUCUCAUGCCCCUCAGGCAGGAACCACUUUUUCACGGUGUGAUUCACGUUUGUGUGUUAUUUGUACAAUGCACAGUGAUAGCUGUGUGAUCUGUGAUAAGAUCAUAAUCCCUGGGAAGCCUUCUGUACCUCAGGUAAUAUAUAAGCCUGGCUUAUGAGCAGCAUCGGGUAUUACCUGACUCAGAAGUCAUGCACAACUUCUGUGAGGGUUGAAGAUGUACAUCCUGUAUCUCACAUGGUGUUUUUCCUAACAUCAGGCUGGAAUAAAAUGACCUUACCUUACAGAAUUAUGUUACUUAUUGUGCUGGCUUUCUCUCUAGCUUUGUGCUGUGGUCCAUUAGAGUAAGUAAAACUGGCUUCAGGAAACGGAGUUGUUUCCUCUGCCCUACAGGAACAGGAGGUUAUCUGCUUGAUAGAGGCUCCAAGGAAAG